rnacentral:rRNA from 1 species
AGAGUUUGAUCCUGGCUCAGAACGAACGCUGGCGGCAUGCCUAACACAUGCAAGUCGAACGUGAUCCAGGCUUCGGUCUGGUGAAAGUGGCAAACGGGUGAGUAACGCGUGGGAACCUGCCCAGAGGUAGGGAAUAACCGCGGGAAACUGCGGCUAAUACCCUAUGUGCCCUAUGGGGCAAAGAUUUAUCGCCUUUGGAGGGGCCCGCGUCGGAUUAGGUAGUUGGUGGGGUAACGGCCUACCAAGCCAUCGAUCCGUAGCUGGUCUGAGAGGAUGAUCAGCCACACUGGGACUGAGAUACGGCCCAGACUCCUACGGGAGGCAGCAGUGGGGAAUAUUGGACAAUGGGGGCAACCCUGAUCCAGCAAUGCCGCGUGAGUGAUGAAGGCCUUCGGGUUGUAAAGCUCUUUCGGCGGGGAAGAUGAUGACGGUACCCGCAGAAGAAGCCCCGGCUAACUUCGUGCCAGCAGCCGCGGUAAUACGAAGGGGGCUAGCGUUGUUCGGAAUUACUGGGCGUAAAGGGCGCGUAGGCUGUGCUGUAAGUCAGGCGUGAAAUCCCCGGGCUCAACCUGGGAAUUGCACUUGAUACUGCAGCGCUGGAAUGCGGGAGAGGAUGGCGGAAUUCCCAGUGUAGAGGUGAAAUUCGUAGAUAUUGGGAAGAACACCGGUGGCGAAGGCGGCCAUCUGGCCCGUAAUUGACGCUCAGGCGCGAAAGCGUGGGGAGCAAACAGGAUUAGAUACCCUGGUAGUCCACGCCGUAAACGAUGAGUGCUAGACGU